rnacentral:misc_RNA from 1 species
AAGUCGUAACAAGGUUUCCGUAGGUGAACCUGCGGAAGGAUCAUUCAUGUGAUUUUUCAAACCCAACUUCUUGUUAACUAUUAGUUAAAAAGUGCCUAAACAUUUUCUGUGUCUUUCUUUUGUUGGCUGCGUUUUCUUUCAUAUUCACUCUAUUUUCAUUUAUGCACUCUAAAAAAGUCUUAUCAAGAAAAUAGGAGAAGAAAUGAUAAAUGCUACCUUUAAUAACCUUUUAAUCUACCCAAAACAAAUUUUACCAUAAAAAUAGCUUUAAAAACUAUUACAACUUUUAACGAUGGAUCCCUCGGCUCUCA